CUCAGACAGCUAGGAGGUUGGCUUAGAAGCAGCCACCCUUUAAAGAAAGCGUAAUAGCUCACUAGUCGAGUCGGCCUGCGCGGAAGAUGUAACGGGGCUCAAACUGGUCACCGAAGCUGCGGCUGCAUACUUUGUAUGCGGGGUAGGGGAGCGUUCUGUAAGCCUGCGAAGGUGUGUUGAGAAGCAUGCUGGAGGUAUCAGAAGUGCGAAUGCUGACAUGAGUAACGACAAUGGGGGUGAAAAACCCCCACGCCGGAAGACCAAGGGUUCCUGCGCAACGCUAAUCGGCGCAGGGUGAGUCGGCCCCUAAGGCGAGGCAGAAAUGCGUAGUCGAUGGGAAACGGGUUAAUAUUCCCGUACUUCUUAUAACUGCGAUGGAGAGACGGAGAAGGCUAGGUGAGCCGGGCGACGGUUGUCCCGGUUUAAGCGAGUAGGGAGUGGACUUAGGCAAAUCCGGGUCCACAAUCUCGAGACGCGACGACGACUGCUCUUAGAGCGGGAAGUCAUUGAUGCCAUGCUUCCAGGAAAAUCUUCUAAGCUUCAGGCUAUUCGAGACCGUACCCCAAACCGACACAGGUGGUUGGGAUGAGUAUUCUAAGGCGCUUGAGAGAACUCGGGUGAAGGAACUAGGCAAAAUUGUACCGUAACUUCGGGAGAAGGUACGCCGCUGACGGUGAUGAGACUUGCUCUCUGAGCUAUUGGCGGUCGCAGUGAAAAGGCCCCUGCAACUGUUUAUUAAAAACACAGCACUCUGCAAACGCGUAAGCGGACGUAUAGGGUGUGACGCCUGCCCGGUGCCGGAAGGUUAAUUGAUGGGGUUAGCUUCGGCGAAGCUCUUGAUCGAAGCCCCGGUAAACGGCGGCCGUAACAAUAACGGUCCUAAGGCAGCG
rnacentral:rRNA from 1 species